rnacentral:rRNA from 1 species
UGAGUAAUGUCUGGGAAACUGCCUGAUGGAGGGGGAUAACUACUGGAAACGGUAGCUAAUACCGCAUAACGUCGCAAGACCAAAGAGGGGGACCUUCGGGCCUCUUGCCAUCAGAUGUGCCCAGAUGGGAUUAGCUAGUAGGUGGGGUAAUGGCUCACCUAGGCGACGAUCCCUAGCUGGUCUGAGAGGAUGACCAGCCACACUGGAACUGAGACACGGUCCAGACUCCUACGGGAGGCAGCAGUGGGGAAUAUUGCACAAUGGGCGCAAGCCUGAUGCAGCCAUGCCGCGUGUGUGAAGAAGGCCUUCGGGUUGUAAAGCACUUUCAGCGAGGAGGAAGGUGGUGAGCUUAAUACGCUCAUCAAUUGACGUUACUCGCAGAAGAAGCACCGGCUAACUCCGCGCCAGCAGCCGCGGUAAUACGGAGGGUGCAAGCGUUAAUCGGAAUUACUGGGCGUAAAGCGCACGCAGGCGGUUUGUUAAGUCAGAUGUGAAAUCCCCGGG